rnacentral:rRNA from 1 species
UACGGGGGGGGCAAGCGUUGUUCGGAAUUACUGGGCGUAAAGGGCUCGUGAGGCGGCCAACUAAGUCAGACGUGAAAUCCCUCGGCUUAACCGGGGAACUGCGUCUGAUACUGGAUGGCUUGAGUGCAGGAGAGGAACGCGGAAUUCCAGGUGUAGCGGGUAGAAAUGGCGUAGAUAUCGGAGGAACACCGGUGGCGAAGGCGGCGUUCUGGACUGCAACUGACACUGAGGAACGAAAGCCAGGGGAGCAAAGCGGG